UUUACAUAAUUUUGUUGGGAAAACAAAAAAUUGUUGUGGGUUCAAAUAAAAUGUAUUAAAUCUUUUCGAAUUAUUUGUUUGUGAAGCUGCUGAUGGUGACGAUGACGAUGAUGCUGGAAAACGGCAAAAAAAAAAUCAACCAAACGAGCCAACAUAGUCAAGUCUUAGGAAAAUAUUUGCAUUUUGUCAUCUCUACAUCUCAGUAGCUUUCUGCCUCUCUCGCUCUAGCUAUAGCUCUGACAUUAUGUAGAUAAAAUUCAAAGUGUCUUAUUUCUUAAUAUGUUAUUAGAUAAUUUGGGCAAAUAUUUGUUUCUAGCUACAAAAAAAAACUUUU